UACAGAGGGUGCGAGCGUUGUCCGGAAUCACUGGGCGUAAAGGGCGCGUAGGUGGCGACCCAAGUCCAUGGUGAAAGCUCGAUGCUCAACAUCGAGUCGGCCACGGAUACUGGGUUGCUGGAGCACUGUAGAGGCAGAUGGAAUUCCGGGUGUAGCGGUGGAAUGCGUAGAGAUCCGGAAGAACACCAGUGGCGAAGGCGGCCUGCUGGGCAGUUGCUGACGCUGAGGCGCGACAGCGUGGGGAGCAAACAGG
rnacentral:rRNA from 1 species